rnacentral:rRNA from 1 species
UUUAUGGAGAGUUUGAUCCUGGCUCAGGAUGAACGCUGGCGGCGUGCCUAAUACAUGCAAGUCGAGCGAACAGAUAAGGAGCUUGCUCCUUUGACGUUAGCGGCGGACGGGUGAGUAACACGUGGGUAACCUACCUAUAAGACUGGAAUAACUCCGGGAAACCGGGGCUAAUGCCGGAUAACAUGUUGAACCGCAUGGUUCUACAGU